rnacentral:lncRNA from 1 species
CCUUUGAUCAAUAGCGUGAAUAGGACCUCUAUAAAUUCAUGAAUAGAUUUUAGAUUUGAUGCUUUUAAGAGAUCACAUAUACAGUACAUUAGAUGUUCAUGGUCAAUGAUAUAUAAGAACAAGUGUUGAAACAUUAACUAAUUAUGUUAUUUUGUUUCUUUUUCUUUGGUCAGUCUGCAAUAUGAGGCAACUGCCUACAUGCCUCCCCAUAAUAAAUGGCCCCAAUCUUCCCAAAAUGCAAACAAUAAGGUGACCGUCUUGUUUUCAAAUGAUUACAUUAAAUAAGUUGAUUGGUUUAUUGUCAAUCAGUUAGAUACUUAACUAUCAUUUGGCUAAUCCAAUUAUCUAAUUAGAUAUACAUACAUGUAGGUACCUGUAGUGGAAUCUUUUAUAUUAUAUAAUUGUUAAAAUAAUAUAUAUUUUUCAAGCAAAC